GCCCCCAUCUCAGUUGGUAGAGCAUGAGACUCCUUAUCUCGGGUCCAUGGGUUCAAGAGCCAUGUUGGGCA